UACGUAGGGGGCAAGCGUUAUCCGGAUUUAUUGGGUUUAAAGGGAGCGUAGAUGGAUGUUUAAGUCAGUUGUGAAAGUUUGCGGCUCAACCGUAAAAUUGCAGUUGAUACUGGAUAUCUUGAGUGAAGUAGAGGCAGGCGGAAUUCCCCGUGUAGCGGUGAAAUGCGUAGAGAUGGGGAGGAACACCAGUGGCGAAGGCGGCCUGCUGGGCUUUAACUGACGCUGAGGCACGAAAGCGUGGGUAGCAAACAGG
rnacentral:rRNA from 1 species